GGUGGUGGUGGAGGUGGUCUUUUGAUUUCGUUCUUUCGUGCGCGCGCGUUGUUGCUUGUGGCCGCGGGUGACUCGUGAUUCCUGACGUUUCCUGGUGCUUCUGCUGCGUUCCCUGCGAUAAUAAGGGACGGCAGUCGAAGGUUCCCUAAUUUGAACCCAACGAAGGACGCAGGAAACCACUCACAUACGGCAAGAGGUUAACGAAGAUUGCCCGACAUCCAUUCUCC